UUUUCACACUUGCUAUCUGCUCACCCUAGUCGCAAACAGGGCCAGCAUUAAGCGGGGGUAGGAAGCAGGGCAAUUGCCUGGGGUUCAAUGCCACAGAGGGCCCCGAGAAGCUAUUUUACAUGUUUCAGCCGCAAGCCGUGUAGGGCUGAAGCCCUGAGCCAUGUGGGGCUGAAGCCUGAGCCCUGAGCUGAUGAGUUUUUUUAAGUCCAAAGGGAGUCGGCAGCACCCCAAGGUUGAGAAACACCUGCUCUAACACGUUUUUCCUCUUCACGUAUAGCCAGAUCCCUGAGUUCCAGCUUCAGCAACAACCUCAUCCAGAUCAUUGCACUUUAUCUUGGCCCAGAACGGUGGCUGUACAGGAUUUCUCUUUAGAGUAAAAAAAAAAUCGAAUUGUCAUUAAGCGUGCUCGUGUCAUUCAGCGAACAAUUACACGAGGUGCGCUGGUUUGUAGAGUGAUUAGCUGCAGCAGGAAACAGCUUUUGUGGCAUUCACAAUCGGAUCAGAGCGGCAGGGAGAUACUGAGCCUCGCAGGGCAGCACACCACGGAGCGAGUCUGAAACAUUGCUUAAUAACAGUGUGUUAUGCUGAUGGGCAACGCAGCCCUCCAACGUCACCAGGCUGCCGGCGUCAUUAACUGGGCUGCGUCACGACACUUCCCUUCGGCAGCACAGAGGUGCCAGCUUUGGAAGCAUAAACUGAAAGUUCAAAUGUUUCCCUUGCUAGGGCUUGUCAGCCUAGGAGCUCCCAGCACUUCACAACCCAUUUGAAUUUGGCUUCCCAGCACCCCAUGGGUCUGGGACAUGUUACACUCCCCGUUGUACAGAGGGCGAGUCUGCGGAACAGAGUGGGGAUGUGACUUUCCCCAUGGUGAGUUAGCAACAGAGCGAAUUCCUGGCUCUCCCUCCAUGUUCUCCAGUCAACACUCUCUGCCUUAGCUGGGAAUGGAAUCCAGCGAGCCAUUAGUUCCCACUCGCCCGCAAAACUCCCAGCCACCGGAAAACAACACAAAGUCUUACUUAAAAAGACAUUGUCCUUCUCUCUCUUCCCCUGGCUGGAGAAAGCCAGUCCCCAAAGGAUCUCAUUAAGGCCCGGCUAUCAGGGGCCAACGCAGGGAUCACUGUUUAAUGCCAGACGUCCCCAGAGGCACUGGAGUUGCUGCCCUGGCACACCGGUUCUCAUCAGUGGGUUAUGGGAGAAGGCUGUGUUGCCCUGAUGGUGUCUGCAGUGCUGGCCAAGCACCAUGAACUUGCCCAGGGAGGCAACUGUGGAGAUUCCCAGACCCCGGAGGCCUGCUGCCAUUACAUGCAUCGUAAGAACAGACCCUUCCUGUGGGCCCAGCCGAAGCGCGCAGCUACUUGCAGCGAGGGGCUGCCUUUCCCAGAGGCACAGGGUCCGAGAACCAGCCCUAAUGUUACCUCACGUUUCUCUCCCCUGUUUAUAACUCUUCAUUGACAGACUGGUGCCUGGAUCUGUUUUCUUAGCAAAAUAAUGUUUCUUCUGUCAUGUGAAAAGUGGCCUGUUUUUGUAGGGUUAGCCCAUGAGCCCUGGGAUGCACACAUGGGCCUAUAAUGGUAUAGGUGUCCCCUGGGCACUGGGAUGCUAGUAGUGAUGUUUUAAGAGCCCUAAGCAUUUAUUUUGAGAAAAACCCGAUAGAAAGGAUGGUUUGAAGCGCGUACUCAGCUGCAUUAAAUAAGGCAGGGCAAAUUUUGGGCUUCCAAAUCUUGACAGAUCCCUUUUAAUAGGACUUUAAAUAGGUGCUGGAGGGCUAAAGUACUGUUAUUUCAGAAGAGCCGUUUAUAUAGCAGCACUUAGUGAAUGCGGCUUGGUUUAUUAUCAGCGUCUAAUCAUAGUGACACAUUGUGCAGCGUGAGGUUAGAGGAAGCUUUAAUAAUAAUCUUCCACAAGUGAAAUGUUGUUAUUUUGCUGAAAAUGUCUGGUACUAAAUAGAAUUGUAGCCUUGUAAUGCUAUGGUUCUACAGGGACUGCCAUCACUAAAAUGGUCCAUACAGAUGACUUCCUGAGCGUGCAGCCAGAGAUUGCUGGUUAAACAAAACUAUCAACCUUGCAAAGGGCAUGAAUCCAGGCAAGCCGCAGGCCUGUGUUUGAAUGCAUGGCAGUGGGGGCCAGGCAGGUCACGCUUACUGGAAAGGAGAAUUGUUUUGGUUUUCCAAUUCCAAAUUAAAACCAUUGAGAGGUACCCUUUGCAGGAAGAAAUGGUCAGGCCUGAAGACUGCUAAAGUGGCUUUGUGUCUGGGGGAGGAAGUAGGGAGGUUGCAGACAAUCUACAAACAAAAUAUUGGCUUUGUUGUCAAGUGCUUAUGAGUGAAUCAAUGAAGUUAUCAAAGCCUGAAAGACAUGCAGUCACUGAGCGUCAGGGAGGCAGACAAGGCUGGGGAUUGUCUUCAUAAAAAGAAUUUUGUGAUCAAACAAAACACUCAACAAUGUAAUUAUUCAUUUUGGAGAAAAACGGUGUUAUGGGGGCAGAGCCCUGAUGCUUCCACUGCAGAGUCCAAGCCACAAAACUCCCCAUCCAACUAAUCCCUGCCCAUGUACCAGACACUGGCUAAGCUUGACCUCGGGGGCAGGGGGGCACCCUAUGUGAAUGUACCGGCUUGGAAUGGCUGGUGACCCAGUUCAAAUCUCUCCUGGGUCACAAGUGAAAAUGAAUCCAAUGGUCUCAGCUUUUGCCUGGGGGAUCUGUGCCCAGUGCUGCAGGCUGGCUAGUGUCGGCUCGGAGACAGGCCAGUGACCGGCCGGCAUCUUGCAGUCCAGAAGGGCGAGGGGUGGUGCUGGCAGGUACAGCCAGCGCUAACCAGACACUGAAGAUCAUCCCCAAAAAUACAGCUCACGUUUCAAGCAAACUCUUUUGCUGUCUGCACAUUACAUGGAAAAAGAGACUUGCUGGGCUUAUUCAUCCCCUCUCCUGUGGAAUGAGGGCAGAUCUGACAGGCAGAGUUCUGGUUUUAUGGGAGCGGAUUCUCACAGGCGGAUACUCACAGCCAUAGUCACUCAAGCAGCCACGGACCUGACAACACCUGCACAUCAGGAGGCAGGUACACAUCUAACCGACCUGAUUUGUACCCUGUGAUGGCUCUGUCUGGAGACCAGCCCUCCCGCCGACGGAGCCAACCCUUGAAGAGGCUAUGUGUUUGCCUCUCAUGCCUAAGCCCCAGCUCCUAGAGGAGCAGGCCAUUCUGCCUGGACUCCCAAACAAGUCCUGCUCCCCACAAGCAGUGCUGUGUUUGGCACAUCACAGUCAAGACCCACAACAGCUGUCAGGACACAGCCACCCCUACUGCACACAGUCUGUUCUCAGGAGGGGAUGCUGGGGAGAGCAGCCUUUGCUGGCUCAGAGCAUCAUAUGCUGCUAUGGUUCAUACAGGACUAAGCCCUUCGCCUCGGGCUCUCAGGGAAAGCUGCCUCCCCGAUUGGAGUCCGUUCUCCUGGGAGAAACCAUUUCAUUCUCUUGCCACCCCCCUGGAGUACUGCUGUCUCCUUUGGCCCUGCCUUACCCCCUUCCCUGCUAUUCCUCAGACAAGCUUUUAGUCACUCCAUAAGACACUGUGAUCAAGAUUUUCAAAAGUGAUAAGUGAUUUCAGAGGCUGCAGGUUUUGGGUGCCCGGUUUGAGACACCUUCAAGGGGCUGUUUUUCAGAAACUGCUGAGCACCUGCGCUCUGAGAGACAGGCCCCUUUGGGGUGUCUCAGGUUGGACACCCCAAGUCACGAGUUGCUUUGAAAAGAUCUUGGUCUGUGGGUGCAACACCUGAUGAGCAGUUAAGGCAAAACCUGGCCUGUGAAUUCU